UGGAACCUGGAAGAUACACCUGAAACUGAAGAAAAAGUUCUCAAAAGUGCGGAAGAGCGGUAUAGAGGCUGGCGACCAACUCUAAGCUCCACUUACAAGGCAUACAAAACAUAUGCAGCUAGGUUGGCUUAUCUGCUGGAAGAUUUACAACAAGAAGAGUGGGAAUGGACGAUUGUGUACUUUGGCACUGAUUCAAAAUUUCAGGAACGCAGCCAAAAGAACAUUGAUAGUCGUAAGAAACAGAAGACAAGACACAUAUUUCGAUCAAAAUCUUACUCGCAACUAAAUUUCGAGAAGAGAAACAUGGAAACUGAAGAAGAGCCAGAUUGUAUUGCUAUGUGGGAACUCACCCACACGAAGAAUGAAACAUGGUCUGACACUGAGUCCCAGGAUGUUUACGAUCCAAAGAACUAG
rnacentral:rRNA from 1 species